CACGUAGGGGACGAGCGUUGUCCGGAUUCAUUGGGCGUAAAGCGCGCGUAGGCGGCUCGGAAAGUCGGUCGUGAAAUGCCGGGGCUCAACCCCGGGACUGCGUCCGAUACUCCCGAGCUGGAGGCAGGUAGGGGAGAUCGGAAUUCCUGGUGUAGCGGUGAAAUGCGCAGAUAUCAGGAGGAACACCGGUGGCGAAGGCGGAUCUCUGGGCCUUGCCUGACACUGAGGCGCGAAAGCUAGGGGAGCGAACAGG
rnacentral:rRNA from 1 species